AUUGAACGCUGGCGGCAUGCCUUACACAUGCAAGUCGAACGGCAGCGGACCUUCGGGUGCCGGCGAGUGGCGAACGGGGUGAGUAAUAUAUCGGAACGUACCUUUCAGUGGGGGAUAACGUAACGAAAGUUACGCUAAUACCGCAUAUUCUGUGAGCAGGAAAGCAGGGGAUCGCAAGACCUUGCGCUGAUUGAGCGGCCGAUAUCAGAUUAGCUAGUUGGUGAGGUAAAGGCUCACCAAGGCGACGAUCUGUAGCGGGUCUGAGAGGAUGAUCCGCCACACUGGAACUGAGACACGGUCCAGACUCCUACGGGAGGCAGCAGUGGGGAAUUUUGGACAAUGGGCGCAAG
rnacentral:rRNA from 1 species